GAAUCUUGCGCAAUGGGCGAAAGCCUGACGCAGCAACGCCGCGUGGGGGAUGAAGGCCUUCGGGUUGUAAACCCCUUUCAGGAGGGAAGAAAUUGACGGUACCUCCAGAAGAAGGACCGGCCAACUACGUGCCAGCAGCCGCGGUAAUACGGAGGGUGCAAGCGUUAAUCGGAAUUACUGGGCGUAAAGCGCACGUAGGCGGUGUGUUAAGUUGGAUGUGAAAGCCCCGGGCUCAACCUGGGAAUUGCAUUCAAAACUGGCACGCUAGAGUAUGUGAGAGGGGGGUAGAAUUCCAAGUGUAGCGGUGAAAUGCGUAGAGAUUUGGAGGAAUGCCAGUGGCGAAGGCGGCCCCCUGGCACAAUACUGACGCUCAGGUGCGAAAGCGUGGGGAGCAAACAGG
rnacentral:rRNA from 1 species